rnacentral:lncRNA from 1 species
UGGUCCGUAAGUGGCAGAGUCUGGACCCGAACACAAGUCUGUCUGCCUUCAAAGUCUGGGUUCAGGCCAACACACCACACAUGUGUCUAAACGAAGACAUCUGGGUUACAACGUCCUAAAAAUCAAAGAAACGAUGAAAACACGGAGGGGAAGAGGCCGUUUCUGCAGUUUCCCAACUGCGCCGGUCCUGGGAGCGGCCUCCCAUAACGAGCAGCAGCCCUG